UACGGGGGGAGCAAGCGUUGUUCGGAUUUACUGGGCGUAAAGGGCGCGUAGGCGGCCUGCUAAGUCGAACGUGAAAUCCCCGAGCUCAACUCGGGAACUGCGUCCGAUACUGGCAGGCUUGAAUCCGGGAGAGGGAUGCGGAAUUCCAGGUGUAGCGGUGAAAUGCGUAGAUAUCUGGAGGAACCCCGGUGGCGAAGGCGGCAUCCUGGACCGGCAUUGACGCUGAGGCGCGAAAGCCAGGGGAGCAAACGGG
rnacentral:rRNA from 1 species